GAGUUAUUAUCUAUAAAAAAAUACAACAGGAAUAUAAAAAACUUGAGGAUAAAAAGAUGUUGGAAAAAGUAAUAUUAAAUCUUAAAAAACAUAUGGAAACUACACAAUGGUGGAGACACAUUGGUGAAGUACAAAAAUAUAAAUUGGAUCUAGAAGAAAGGGCAAUGCAGGCAAUAGAAAAAUUAGUAGAAAUCCCUUUAAAGGUUAGUUUGUAAAAUCAGGUAAGUUUAUUUAUAAUUUGCUUUCAUUUAUUUCACUGCAAAUUAUAUUUUGGAUAUGUAUAUAUAUUGUGCUUCCUCUGCCUGUCUUACAGCAAUUUGCCUUGCAGAGUUCUAGGAAAAAGGUGGCAUGUGUUUUUACUUUCAAAUAUUUAAAUUUCCAUCAUUCUAACAAAAUCAAUUUUUCAGAGUAAUGAUUCUCACUGUGGAGUCAUUUGAUUAUUAAGACCCGUUGGCAUAAGAUUACAUCCUCUGACUAUAAAAAUCCUGGAAGAAAACCUAGGAAAUAUUCGUCUGGACAUUGCACUUGGCAAUGAAUUUAUGGGCGCUUUGGAAUCCUGCAGAUAUAAUAAUGAUAAUUAAACAAAACACUCAGAGAAACUGCCAACCCUAGGAUGAAGUAUAUUGUUACUGUGCUUUGGGAUUAAAAUAAGUAACUACAGUUUAUAGAACUUUUAUACUGAUACACAGACACUAAAAAGGGAAAGGGUUUAGAUGAGAAGCUCUGCUAUGCAAUCAAGAAUCUCAGCCACUCAUUUCUGUAGGGGCUGCAGGAGCUCCCUGUAAAGAGAGGUUAUGGAGUCUGUAGCUUCAGGUAACCACUGAUCCACUUCCAGUCACUAUCCAUGAGUUUUUAUUUCCAAAUACAUGAAAUCAUAUGAAUUUCUGGUUUUUCCUGUUGGAGCCCAAGGAGCAAGGGCAGAAUGAAGAACAUGAUGUUUCCUACCGACAGUUACUCAUGACGUCUCCAUCCAGGACUGAGGGGGGCAUCCUUCUCCAUCUAGGACUGGGGGCAUCCUUCUCCAUCCAGUAUUGGGGGUCAUCCUCCUCCAUCCAGGACCUGAGGGGUGUCCUUUUCUGCGCUUCCUUGGAUGGCAGUCUUUCCCUUCAUGUUUAUAGUGACUUACCAUUAAAUCACUGUGCCGUUUUUUCCUAAAA